UACGAAGGGGGCUAGCGUUGCUCGGAAUCACUGGGCGUAAAGCGCACGUAGGCGGAUUGUUAAGUCAGGGGUGAAAUCCUGGAGCUCAACUCCAGAACUGCCUUUGAUACUGAAGAUCUUGAGUGCGGGAGAGGUGAGUGGAACUGCGAGUGUAGAGGUGAAAUUCGUAGAUAUUCGCAAGAACACCAGUGGCGAAGGCGCUCACUGGCCCGAUACUGACGCUGAGGCACGAAAGCGUGGGGAGCAAACAGG
rnacentral:rRNA from 1 species